rnacentral:rRNA from 1 species
UACGGAAGGCAGCAGUGGGGAAUAUUGCACAAUGGGCGCAAGCCUGAUGCAGCCAUGCCGCGUGUAUGAAGAAGGCCUUCGGGUUGUAAAGUACUUUCAGUCGCGAGGAAGGUGUUAAGGUUAAUAACCUUAGCAAUUGACGUUAGCGACAGAAGAAGCACCGGCUAACUCCGUGCCAGCAGCCGCGGUAAUACGGAGGGUGCGAGCGUUAAUCGGAAUUACUGGGCGUAAAGGGCACGCAGGCGGUUAAUUAAGUUGGAUGUGAAAUCCCCGGGCUUAACCUGGGAAUGGCAUUCAAGACUGGUUAGCUAGAGUCUUGUAGAGGGGGUAGAAUUCCAUGUGUAGCGGUGAAAUGCGUAGAGAUGUGGAGGAAUACCGGUGGCGAAGGCGGCCCCUGGACAAAGACUGACGCUCAUGUGCGAAAGCGUGGGGAGCAAACAGGGAUUAGAUACC